rnacentral:rRNA from 1 species
UUAGAGGAAGUAAAAGUCGUAACAAGGUUUCCGUAGGUGAACCUGCGGAAGGAUCAUUACCGAGUAAGGGUUCCCUUGUCGGGGCCCCGACCUCCUCACCGUGCUGAAUCGGACCCUGUUGCUUCAGCGGGCUGGAGGGUGAUGCUUAGCCGUUGCCUUCCCCAGCUAGGCCCGCUGGAGACCCUUGUCAAAUACCGAUGCGUCAACAAAUGCCUGUCUGAGUGGGAUUGCAAUCUAGCAAAACUUUCAACAAUGGAUCUCUUGGUUCCGGCAUCGAUGAAGAACGCAGCGAAAUGCGAUAAGUAAUGUGAAUUGCAGAAUUCCGUGAAUCAUCGAAUCUUUGAACGCAUAUUGCGCCCUCUGGCAUUCCAGAGGGCAUGCCUGUCCGAGUGUCAUUGCCUCCCUCCAAGCCCCCCGGCUUGGGUGUUGGGCUGUCGUCCCCCUCCGCGGCGGGGUGGGGACGGGCCUGAAAGACAACGGCGGUGCCAUGGUCAGCCUCCGAGCGUAUGGGGGUUUUUUCGUUCCCGCUCCAUGGGUGUGAUGAGGCACCUGCCUUUCCCCUGCAGUGUUGACUCCAGUGGACCUCGGAUCAGGUAAGGAUACCCGCUGAACUUAAGCAUAUCAAUAA